rnacentral:rRNA from 1 species
GCUAAUACCGCAUACGUCCUACGGGAGAAAGCAGGGGACCUUCGGGCCUUGCGCUAAUAGAUGAGCCUAAGUCGGAUUAGCUAGUUGGUGGGGUAAAGGCCUACCAAGGCGACGAUCUGUAGCGGGUCUGAGAGGAUGAUCCGCCACACUGGGACUGAGACACGGCCCAGACUCCUACGGGAGGCAGCAGUGGGGAAUAUUGGACAAUGGGGGGAACCCUGAUCCAGCCAUGCCGCGUGUGUGAAGAAGGCCUUUUGGUUGUAAAGCACUUUAAGCGAGGAGGAGGCUACCGAGAUUAAUACUCUUGGAUAGUGGACGUUACUCGCAGAAUAAGCACCGGCUAACUCUGUGCCAGCAGCCGCGGUAAUACAGAGGGUGCAAGCGUUAAUCGGAUUUACUGGGCGUAAAGCGCGCGUAGGUGGCCAAUUAAGUCAAAUGUGAAAUCCCCGAGCU